ACGGAAGGCAGCAGUCGGGAAUAUUGCGCAAUGGAGGGAACUCUGACGCAGUGACGCCGCGUAUAGGAAGAAGGUUUUCGGAUUGUAAACUAUUUUAGACAGGGAAGAAAUUGACAGUACCUGUAGAAUAAGCUCCGGCUAACUACGUGCCAGCAGCCGCGGUAAUACGUAGGGAGCAAGCGUUAUCCGGAUUUAUUGGGUGUAAAGGGUGCGUAGACGGGAAAUCAAGUUAGUUGUGAAAGCCCUCGGCUUAACUGAGGAACUGCAACUAAAACUAAUUUUCUUGAGUGCAGGAGAGGAAAGCGGAAUUCCUAGUGUAGCGGUGAAAUGCGUAGAUAUUAGGAGGAACACCAGUGGCGAAGGCGGCUUUCUGGACUGUAACUGACGUUGAGGCACGAAAGUGUGGGGAGCAAACAGGAUUAGAUACCCUGGUA
rnacentral:rRNA from 1 species